GAAACCAACCGGGAUUGCCUUAGUAACGGCGAGUGAAGCGGCAAAAGCUCAAAUUUGAAAUCUGGUACCUUCGGUGCCCGAGUUGUAAUUUGGAGAGGGCAACUUUGGGGCCGUUCCUUGUCUAUGUUCCUUGGAACAGGACGUCAUAGAGGGUGAGAAUCCCGUGUGGCGAGGAGUGCGGUUCUUUGUAAAGUGCCUUCGAAGAGUCGAGUUGUUUGGGAAUGCAGCUCUAAGUGGGUGGUAAAUUCCAUCUAAAGCUAAAUAUUGGCGAGAGACCGAUAGCGAACAAGUACAGUGAUGGAAAGAUGAAAAGAACUUUGAAAAGAGAGUGAAAAAGUACGUGAAAUUGUUGAAAGGGAAGGGCAUUUGAUCAGACAUGGUGUUUUGUGCCCUCUGCUCCUUGUGGGUAGGGGAAUCUCGCAUUUCACUGGGCCAGCAUCAGUUUUGGUGGCAGGAUAAAUCCAUAGGAAUGUAGCUUGCCUCGGUAAGUAUUAUAGCCUGUGGGAAUACUGCCAGCUGGGACUGAGG
rnacentral:rRNA from 1 species